rnacentral:rRNA from 1 species
GAUGAACGCUAGCGGCAGGCUUAAUACAUGCAAGUCGAGGGGCAGCACGGUUAGCAAUAACUGGUGGCGACCGGCGCACGGGUGCGUAACACGUAUACAAUCUACCUUAAACGAGGGGAUAGCCUUUCGAAAGAGAGAUUAAUACCCCGUAAUAAAUUGAACGGCAUCGUUUGAUUUUGAAAGCUCCGGCGGUUUGAGAUGAGUAUGCGUCUGAUUAGCUAGUUGGUGAGGUAACGGCUCACCAAGGCGACGAUCAGUAGGGGAUCUGAGAGGACUAACCCCCACACUGGUACUGAGACACGGACCAGACUCCUACGGGAGCAGCAGUAAGGAAUAUUGGCAAUGGAGGCAACUCUGAACCAGCCAUGCCGCGUGCAGGAUGACGGCCCUA